GCUAGUCUGUUGGCCUGACGUCAGAUGUCGCUUUCACAAACCCCCCCGGGGGCUGAAGAAGGCUCUCCGCUGCUCUGAUGGGCCAGCCCAGUCCUGGCCCAGCUCCCUGGAGAGGCACCCGCAUCCUCUGGGCUGAGCUGUAGCUCCUGUGACGCUGACUUCCAGGCAUGAGGUGGCUCCUGCCCUGGACGCUGGCAGCCGUGGCAGUCCUGAUGGUGGGCAACAUCCUGGCCACGGCCCUCUCUCCAACCCCCACAACCAUGACCUUCACCCCAGCACCACUGGAGGAAACGAUUACACGGCCGGAAUUCUGCAAGUGGCCGUGUGAGUGCCCACAAGCCCCACCUCGCUGCCCACUGGGUGUCAGCCUAAUCACAGAUGGCUGUGAAUGCUGUAAGAUAUGUGCCCAGCAGCUUGGGGACAACUGCACAGAGGCUGCCGUCUGUGACCCACACCGGGGCCUCUACUGCGAUUACAGUGGGGACCGCCCGAGAGGUGGUCGGUGUGGGCUGUGUCCUGGAUGGCGUGCGCUACACCAAUGGAGAGUCCUUCCAACCCAACUGCAGGUACAACUGCACCUGUAUUGAUGGCACCGUGGGCUGCACACCACUGUGCCUGAGCCCCAGGCCCCCACGCCUCUGGUGCCGCCAGCCCCGUCACGUGAGAGUCCCUGGCCAGUGCUGUGAACAAUGGGUAUGUGAUGAUGAUGCCAG
rnacentral:lncRNA from 1 species